CGACCGGCGCACGGGUGAGUAACACGUAUCCAACCUGCCCACCACUUGGGGAUAACCUUGCGAAAGUAAGACUAAUACCCAAUGAUAUCUCUAGAAGACAUCUGAAAGAGAUUAAAGAUUUAUCGGUGAUGGAUGGGGAUGCGUCUGAUUAGCUUGUUGGCGGGGUAACGGCCCACCAAGGCAACGAUCAGUAGGGGUUCUGAGAGGAAGGUCCCCCACAUUGGAACUGAGACACGGUCCAA
rnacentral:rRNA from 1 species